CAGCUGUGGGCUCAGAGGCUGAGCUCUGGGGCAUCUCCACCAUGGCCUGGACCCUCCCCUGCUUUCCCUCCUCACUCUCUGCACAAGUGC
rnacentral:pre_miRNA from 1 species